ACUAUAAUGGCCCUUGACAGACAUGAAGAAACUUUUCACAUAUUCUCCAGAUGCUUCUCUUCACUAAACUAGACAUCCCUGGUUCUUCAUAUUGGUAUAAAGAAGCAGUGGGGCAGGGAAAACAAAACGGUGAAAGACAAUCCCUGCUUUGAAGGAACUCGAAGGGAGAGAUACACAAAGUAGCAGACAAUUGCAGGGCCAUUUGCCAUAGAGCUUAUAUUGGGGUCACCUGUUGGAAAGAACAGUGUUCUGGAAUCCUGGGAAAUGAGCUCUGCUGAGAAGUCACUGUGUGACCUUGGUCAAGUCACUGUGCUCUCUGAACUCUGCUCCGCUCUAACAAAGGGGCCAGACCAGGGAGUCCCUAAAGAAGAGUGUUGUGUAAGAAAGCACACCCUAGACCAGACAGACCUAGCUUGGAAUCUCAAUUCCUGUGGCCUGCCAGCAGAAUAAACUAGAUACAUCUCAGUUUCUCCAUCUAUAAAACAAGGUUAUUAGAUAUAACCUAGCUAACGUGGUUAUCCUGAAGCUUAAAUAAAAUAGAC